rnacentral:rRNA from 1 species
CUUUAUUGGAGAGUUUGAUCCUGGCUCAGGACGAACGCUGGCGGCGUGCCUAAUACAUGCAAGUCGAGCGAAUCAAUGGGAGCUUGCUCCCUGAGAUUAGCGGCGGACGGGUGAGUAACACGUGGG